CAAUAUUUAAAAUAAUAUUCUUUUGUCUCACACUUUUCUUACAAAAUUUGUUAAGAAAACUUAAUUGCUAACUUGCUAAUCUUUCAUUUUUAUUUAUUGUAAAUGAAAAUUUAUGAUCUGUUGCACUUAAGACACUGAGUAGAUUUGCUUUUACAUACAUCCAAAUUUCAAUAUUAUCAGAAUGUCGACUAUAACCUUUGUAGUCAGUUCAUUGUCAGAGUUUGGUAUGUAAAUUCUUUUUUUGUGUAUUCAAGAUCCUUUUUAACCCAAAACAUGUUAGUCUUUAUCCUUUUCAUACUGAACUUUUCUUUGUUUUAAAAUUAUGUAGCAUUUAAGAUAGUCCUGUUUCAUAAGGCCCCAUAAAAUAAUACAUUUGAUAAUGAUCUAAAUGUAAACAACAAAAAAAUAAAAGUUCUAAGAGUGCAUACAAAGCAUUGAAAUAUAUGGCUAUCAAUUUUGAAAAUUGGAAAUUUCUUCCACUUAGAGUAGACCUGUGGCCAAACAUUUGUACAUUAAAAUAAUUUAUUAAAAUGUUAAAUGGAUGAUGAAAUUCCAUAACUUCUAAGAAGCAUUUAAAAAGUCAUUAUAUAUACAUGUACUUUGACAGUACUAAAAGCUAAAAAAUGUCCUGCUCUGAACUACAAGCAUUACAUACUUGUAUUGGAAGUUUAUAACAUACAGACUUGCACACUUUUGCAUAAUAAUUGUGUUUCAUAUGUUAAUAUAAUACAUAGUGUACUAAUGUUUAAUGACGUGUUGCAUCAUAAAUGUUUCAUAUGUGAACAUUAUACACAGUUUACUAAUGUUUAAUGAAACACUGCAUUAAAAUUGUUUCACAAGUCAACAUUACACUAAGCUUAAUAAUGGUUAAUGACAUAUUGCAUCAUAUUUGUGUUUCAUAUGUGAACACUGUACACAGUUUACUAAUGUUUAAUGAUACAUUGCAUCAUUACUUUCCUAGGUCAGUGUUAUGCUCAGUUUUAUAAUGUUUAAUAAUACUAUAUAAAUAUAUAACUAUAUAACUGUGUUUCAUAUGUUAACAAUGGCAUCUUUGUGUGAAUAAAAAGUUUACUUUUUUGAAUGCAUGUUGAUUUUUUUGCUUUAUUUGAAAUGUAUUUAUAUCCAGACAGAGCAUUAUUUUGUCGCUACUUGAUAGGUGUGAUACGUAAUUUAAGAAUGCCCAUCAAAGUCCCACAUAACAUCCAUGCCUGUUAGAUUAAGAAAGUAUCAUGAACAUGUUCUAUAUAAUUACUGAUACUGGGAUUGAAGUGUUGUUACCAUAGACUGAAACUUAAAUUUAGUUCAACAAGAAGUUACUAUAGUUAGUUUGUUAUGUAUUUUUUAUGUACUGUAUUUUAAUUGAAUGUGACAAAAUACCAUAUGCUAUUAUAUGCGAAACUGGUUUAUCAGUAUUGAUUGUUUUGCAGUAUUUUUAUAUGAUGUUGCUUUGUAAGUAGUAUUCAUUGUAAUAUAUACUUUAUAAUACUUUUUAAUCCUAUAGAAUUAUGCCUCUGUUUUCUAAGAUGAACAAAAAUUGUAUGUUUUGAUUUAUGGUAAAAUGUUUAUGAGAUUACAAUUCAAAUUUUGAAUAGAGGAUAAAUUUAUCUAAAAACACAGCCAAGCUGUCACCUUUAGUUAGUUUAUUAAUUCCAACCUGUUAAGUAUCCAACAUAAUUAAAUGCUUGUACAUGUGGGUUUUCAGUUUUCCUAGCUACACAGAAUGAGCUUACCAAAAACAUAGAGAAUACAAUUAGGUUUAGUAGACUAAAGUAGCACAUUUAUCAUGAUCAAGUAUUUUUUUAAAACAUGUAUUAGAUAGACCAUGCUAUAUUUCAGAAAAGACAUUUCUAGGGUAAGUCAUACAGACUUCUUCAGAAAUUGGCUAAAAUGUAAAAUAAUAAAACCAUUUUAUCAUACCAAAUAUUAAGAAACUUGUAUGGGCUUAUUCAUUCUAAAUCUCACCAAAAAUAACUUAAACUAAACACCAUAUUACACUAUAAGAUAAAUGCAUAUUGAUUAACUGAAUUAAAUUAAAUUCAAAAUUGAAAAAUAGCCAUAACUACAUUAUCCUAAAAAAAUAAAUGAAACUGUGAAAGAUAAUUCUAACUGCUUCUAUUAAACAAUUUUAAGUUUAAACCCUUUCUUUACAGAUUACCUCAUCUGACUAGCUAUUGGAAUUUAGACACAAUUGUAUAGUCUCAAUUCUCUUUUUGAUGUUACUGAUUUACAAGAUGGCUCAUGAGGCAAGAUAAAAGGAAAGAUUUCCCAAAAAAACUUGUUAACUAACAUGCCCAAAACUGUAAAGAAUCAAGUAUUGGAAGCAGAGAUUUUCAAAGGAAUUUUAUUAGCUACAUGCACAUGACAGAAGAAGUGUUAUAGAAGCAGAGUUUUCCGAAGGAACUUUGUUAAAUACAUGCACAUGACUGGAGAAGCGAGUUGUAGAACUAGAGUUUUUCUAAGGAACUUUGUUAACUGCAUGCACAAGACCAAAGAAGUGAGUUAUAGAAGCAGAGUAUCCUGAGCAACUUUCUUAACUACAUGCACAAGACUGAAGAACUUUCAUUGUUCAACUACAUGAUAACGAAUGGACAAGUAAAGGCAGUUGUGGAUUACCAGCUGAAGCAGAAGAGCUCUUGUGUAACUUAUGUGGCAACUUUUUUCGAACCAAGAACUCACUGAGGGUUCAUCGCAACUAUAUGCACAAAGCUUUGAAAAAACAUGUUUGUGGUGGUUGUCAGAGAGCUUUCAAGAAGUCUUUUGAUUUGAAAAGACAUAAACUUAUUUGUAAAUUUCUAAAUUGAGCAACAAUAUGAAAACACAAGUUGGAUAUUGUAAUUUCAACCAUCUAUACAUCUCAAAUGUUGUAGGUGAAAUCAGAAGUAUCAAAUGUUUUAGUUGAAAUUCUGUUCAUACUUCUUUGCCAUUGUAUUUAUGUUAGAAAUCGGCUCAUAGUUUUUAAAUCUCAAAAACUAUAAAUUCAGCAGUCUGAUUGUUAGUGCUAUAUUUUUUAUUUCCAAAGUUUGUUUGCUUUGAACUUAAAUCUGUACACUGUGUACUUUUUUUAUUCCAGCAAUUUAUGCUAUAUUUAAGCUAUAUAUAUUUUCUUGUAAAACAACUUUUAUUAAAAUAUAUAUCAAGUGUUUUAUAUUGAAAUAUAUGUUGUUGUUAUUGAUAUAUAUAUAUACACACACACACAUAAGGCAAAUGUGAAGUCUAGAAGAGUGAACAAAAGUAAAUCAUAUUAGUUGUCUAAAUAAAUAAUUUACGUUUUACUGAAAGAUCCAAUUCCUCCACAGGUUAUGCCUUCCAACCUCUCCAUGAAGACUGGAGUGCGACAUCAAGUGGGAAAAUCACACAACAACUAACAGACAAUGUGUGUAGCCUAUGUGGAAACUUCUUUCGCAACACUAACUCCUUGAGGGUCCACUUGUAUUACAUGCACAGAGCUGUGAGAAAACAUAAAUGUGCUGGAUGCCAAAAAGCUUUCAGAAAGCUUUUCGAAUUGAAGAGACACAUGAAAACUUGUAUAUACAUGUGUUUAUAAAGUGUUUAUGGUCUGAAAGUUGUGAUGUUUACAGAACUUUAUUGUAUUUUCACUCAGUAAUAUUGAUUAUCACUUAAACACUGUAAAAUAUUUUAAAUUUAUAAAAGGGAAAUUUGGAUGACUUAUUUCUUUAGUUAUGUUAGGUCUAAAAUAUUUUACCUUAUUGUCAGUGUUUUAAAUACAUAACAUGAAUUUCCACAGAAAAAGUUUAUGUUCAACUUAUGUGCAUUACAUCUUUGAUUUUUUCUUAGCCCUAAAUUUGUCAGAUUCAUUUUUCUAACCCAUGUUUAUAUGAUGAUGAGGCCAUGAAAUAGAUCUUAUAAUUACAAAAUUGAUUAACUAACUAAAGUUAUGAUUCUGGUAGCUACAGAGGUUGAGUAUGUUAUAUUAAAAUUAUGUUGUUAGCCUGUGUUGUCACAUCUGGUCAUACCCUGUCUGACAACCAUGCAUAUUCAUAAUACCCUUCCAGCAUAGUUCCAUUGCAAAAGGUUCCAUCAUAGACUGUCAUGUUCCAAGCACACCUCUCCACCCUAAUGCUUUUCAUAAUCUAUCUAGGGUAGGUGGAUGAUGGUUUCCUUGCACCAGUUUCAACAAUUUGAUCAUGCAGAAAUCCAUAGGCACUGCAUCAUAAAGGUCCACAGAUAUAUUUUCAUAUGGAAUAGCAUGAACACCCAUUUAAUUCUCCAGCUGCUUGAGAUGUACAACAGUUGAACAAAUAUGUUGCAGAAGCAACUUCUGUACACCCAAUUUUUGUUAUGUUUCAGAAAGAGAUCUUUAUUAUUUAUGUUUCCUGGAACACAUGAAUGGCUUUUGCCUCUGUCUUUUGUGUUUCCUGGAUUCUCAGAUGUUAUAAAAUGCCACACAUUGCUUACUAUAGUUGGAUUACAACUUAUUGCAUGUCUCAUUCUAGAUAGUCCAGGUGUCCCAAGUUGAUCCAUAUUCUUUUGUUUUCUACUGCCAUUAAUUACAAAGGCAACUUCUUGGAAAUUAUUAAUCCUCAAUCUGAACACAUCUUUGUGAUCUGAGUGUAUUAAUAUUUUGCUUUGGAAAGGGCUAUUACAUAUCCUUCCCAAAAGCAAUCAAUUUUUAGUGGUAUCAGAAGUACUUAAAAAAUGCAAUCACUGUGAAAAUGUAUUUCUGAUACAUGUAAUUCCAUUGCAACUUUAUAUCGACUGUGGUUGCCACAUUACUUGCUUAUUUUAAUAUUCAAAAUCAUUCUAAUAUACUCAGUCCUCUUACAUGUGUUGUCUGAAUAAGUUAUCAAACUUAACAUUUAUUGAUUUUCAUACUUUUCGUUUUUGGAUCUUUGUAACAUUUUGUUAUCAAUGGAAACUUACGAAUAUGGUCUUAACUUGGAAUUUCACAAACUUUUAAGUUUAAUGUUUUGAAAACAGCAAGUAUUAGUUAUUGCAUUGCUCUAUAAUAACACUUUUAAUGUGUGUGAAUAAACAGAAUUUUUAGCUGCCAUUUUAAAAUAUUUUGAAAAGAGCUGAAAUAUGAAUAAAGUUAUAAAUGUUGGUUUAAAAUUGUAAAAUACACACAAUUAUUUCACAAAGGAUAAACAUCACAGUACUCUCUUGUUUAACAACGUGCCUAGCAUUUAAUGACUGUACAUUACUUUAAUUUCACAAGGAUUAACCAUCAUAUGACACUUCUGUUUUAUUAACUUGCUUAAUGCUUAAAAACUGUACAUUGAAUUCACAAAAGUUAAGUAUCACAGAAAACCUCUGCUUGAGUAAUUUGCUUUACAUCUAAAAUUAUAUAACCAAGGGUGCCCGCAGAAAAAAAUUAGGGGGGGGGGGGGUCAAGUACCUCAAGUUUGAAAAGAUUAUGAAAUCGAAAUACAAAUACCUUAUGAUUUUCCAAUAAUGUAGAAAAAUAAUUUUACCUAUCUAGUAAUUUUUUUCUUUUUGAAAAUCCAGGGGGGUCAAGUGACCCCCCCCUGGCCCCAUGUAUAUAACAAUUGUGAAUUUUGUAGUAAAAGCAUGAAAUGUGACGUGUUAGUCAGAUUGUACUCUUCAUAUUCAGAAAAGAUGUAUUUCUGCUUUUAUUCUAAAUGGUUGUCAUCUGUAUAGGAUAUUGUGACCAUUUAUUAAUAUUUUGUUCGUUUUACAUGUAUCCCUUGUCAUGGAAACUAUGAAAUAAAUACAUACUUUUGGUUAUUGUCAAAA
rnacentral:lncRNA from 1 species